rnacentral:miRNA from 1 species
GCAUCAAAGUCGGUUUGUCAUA